AUUCGAUGCAACGCGAAGAACCUUACCAAGGCUUGACAUGUGCCGGGAGGGCGCGGAGACGCGUCUGCCUUCGGGCCGGUUCACAGGUGGUGCAUGGUUGUCGUCAGCUCGUGUCGUGAGAUGUUGGGUUAAGUCCCGCAACGAGCGCAACCCUUGUCCCGUGUUGCCAGCGCGUUGUGGCGGGGACUCACGGGGGACUGCCGGGGUCAACUCGGAGGAAGGUGGGGACGACGUCAAAUCAUCAUGCCCCUUAUGCCUUGGGCUUCACGCAUGCUACAAUGGCCGGUACAGAGGGUGGCGAUGCCGUGAGGCGGAGCGAAUCUCGUAAAGCCGGUCUCAGUUCGGAUCGGGGUCUGCAACUCGGGCCCGUGAAGUCGGAGUCGCUAGUAAUCGCAGAUCAGCAACGCUGCGGUGAAUACGUUCCCGGGCCUAGUACAC
rnacentral:rRNA from 1 species